GACGUGGUGGCGGAGUGGUCUAACGCGCCAGACUUGAAAUCUGGUUCCCUAGGGAGCGUCUGUUCGAAUCAGGCCCACGUCG
rfam:Neurospora crassa OR74A linkage group V, whole genome shotgun sequence.